CCUACGGGAGGCAGCAGUGAGGAAUAUUGGUCAAUGGACGAGAGUCUGAACCAGCCAAGUAGCGUGAAGGAUGACUGCCCUAUGGGUUGUAAACUUCUUUUAUAUGGGAAUAAAAUGUUCCACGUGUGGGAUUUUGUAUGUACCAUAUGAAUAAGGAUCGGCUAACUCCGUGCCAGCAGCCGCGGUAAUACGGAGGAUCCGAGCGUUAUCCGGAUUUAUUGGGUUUAAAGGGAGCGUAGGUGGAUUGUUAAGUCAGUUGUGAAAGUUUGCGGCUCAACCGUAAAAUUGCAGUUGAAACUGGCAGUCUUGAGUACAGUAUAGGUGGGCGGAAUUCGUGGUGUAGCGGUGAAAUGCUUAGAUAUCACGAAGAACUCCGAUUGCGAAGGCAGUUCACUGGACUGCAACUGACACUGAGGCUCGAAAGUGUGGGUAUCAAACAGGAUUAGAUACCCGAGUAGUC
rnacentral:rRNA from 1 species